rnacentral:tRNA from 1 species
UAUUUUGGCAGAUUAGUGUAUUUGAUUUAGAAUCAUUUUAAGUAAUUUAGGUUACAGGUAAUAA